GAACAAAUAGCAAAUAAUGCAUUAUGGUUUCGGCCCAUAAAGAGGAAUUUUUCCUUUGUUUU
rnacentral:tRNA from 1 species